UACGAAGGGGGCUAGCGUUGCUCGGAAUUACUGGGCGUAAAGCGCACGUAGGCGGAUUGUUAAGUCGGGGGUGAAAUCCUGGAGCUCAACUCCAGAACUGCCUUCGAAACUGGCGAUCUUGAGUCCGGGAGAGGUGAGUGGAACUGCGAGUGUAGAGGUGAAAUUCGUAGAUAUUCGCAAGAACACCAGUGGCGAAGGCGGCUCACUGGCCCGGUACUGACGCUGAGGCGCGAAAGCGUGGGGAGCAAACAGG
rnacentral:rRNA from 1 species